AGCUUCGGUCCAAAUGAAUAUCCUAAUCCUUAAGAUGUAACGAGCAAUUUGGUAAAAUAAAUUUGUCGUAAUCUUUUACGGUUGCGAAGGAGUAGUGGCCACAAGAAAAAAACAGUGUUUGGGGAGAUAACUCUUACAAGGUUAAGUAUUUUGUUACGCGGUUGUCAUUUUUUAAAGCGUAUAAACUAUACGAUAUCAUAUUCCAAAUAUCUAAGCGACAUCUUUUGAAACAGCAAAACUACGCAAGAAAAAAAUUUAGGCGGAAGAAGAAAAAUAAUAAUAAUCAGAACAAAACCUAUAGGUCUUUCCACGGAAAAGUGGAAAGACCUAAUAAU
rnacentral:lncRNA from 1 species